rnacentral:lncRNA from 1 species
GCAGGCCUGUCCCUUUGCUUUCUUAAAACUGCGCACCGUCUGAGGCCACUUCGAGCCUACUGGAUCCCUGGUUCCAACCCAGUAGGAUCACAGAAGCAGGGCCAGCUGCCAGGAGAAAAAGUUGUUCUCUUCUACCAAAUUUUCCUGCCAUCAAAUGCUCAUUGAGUGACAAUAGAGAAAGCACCAUCAUCCUGAAGCAUCAGAUUGGGAGAAAAGUCCGCUCUCGAGAGCAUCAACUAUGUAGAAAGGGGACCAACCUAUGUUAUAUCUGCCUUAGUGCAUGGGCUGCUGGUCAAUGCUAACAGCUGGCUCUCAGGGAAAAAAGAAAAACCAUCUGUGGCAUCUGCCAAUUUCUGUGGUGUAAAUACUCUGAGCUCUGCCAAUUUCAAGCCAUCCAUCUGACAUUGCUGAACCCAAAGUUGGCAAGGGAUGUGCACAAUUGCCUUUUGCAAGCAAGCUUCUGCAAAAGACUUGAGACAGCUCACAAUGAAGUACUCUGUAUUAGGCAGGGUAAUAUUGAUUGCAAGUGACAGAAACCCAAUCAGAAACUCACUGGAGUCAUGAGGAACACUUAUUGGCUCAGAGUAAAGGCAAAAUAGACCUUCAGAGAAAUAAAGUCU